UACUUUCUAGGAGCAUCUUCCGAUACUCCUACUAUGUUACGACUUAUCUUAUUUUAAAAUAAGAGCGACGGGCGAUGUGUGCAUAUUUUAGAGCUAAAAUCAAAUUAGUAAGCAUCUAAUUUUACUUUUAAAUCCACCUUCAUAUAAUAAUAAUUAUUACAAUCCAUAUAAAUAAAUUUAUUGUAACCCAUCUCUCCUUAUUCAUAAAUUGCACCUUGACCUGACAUAUCAUGUUUUAUAUUAAUAGAAUAUUACCUCUAAAAAGAUACUCUUAUGACGGAGGUAUACAAACUGAAAACAAAAAUAAGUGAAUAACCUCGUGGACUAUCGAUUACAGGACAGGUUCCUCUAAAAAGAAUAAAAUACCGCCAAAUUCUCUGGGUUUCAAGAACAUAACUAUUACUACCCUGGUUAAUAUUAACAUCUAAAAUAAAAGGGUAUCUAAUCCUUGUUUCUUAAUAUAGAUUUCAUAGCUUCAAUAAAAUCACUUAUAAUUAAAAUUAAAAUUUCACCUAAAAAUAUUAAAUAUAAAAAUAAAAUAUAUCUAACUAUUAAACCAAAAAUAUUUAUUUAUUCCCUACGUAUAACCGCGGCAGCUGGCACGACUUUAACCGGAAAUAUAUAAAUUGCUAUUUCCAAUAUUCCAUUGAAGAAUAAUAAUAACCACUACAAUCAAUUAUAUUUAUUAUUAAAACAAAUACAUCAAUGCAAAAACUAAUAUAUGGCACAAUUAUAAAAUAAAUAUAUAGCAAGAAUAAAACUUUAA
rnacentral:rRNA from 1 species